GACAGAGGCCUCGAGCGUUAGGCGGAAUCACUGGGCUUAAAGCGUGUGUAGGCGGGCGGGCAAGUACCUUGUGAAAUCCCCCGGCUCAACCGUGGAACGGCUGGGUAUACUGCCUGUCUUGAGCCAGCUAGGGGCGACCGGAACAGACGGUGGAGCGGUGAAAUGCGUAGAUAUCGUCUGGAACGCCAAAGGUGAAAACAGGUCGCUGGGGCUGAGCUGACGCUGAGACACGAAAGCCAGGGGAGCGAACGGG
rnacentral:rRNA from 1 species